AAAGCGCACGUGCACGGGGUGUCUACGAUCGCACGAGUACGCGUAUGUCAUGUAUCGCGCGGAAUGCACGUGCUUGCGGGAACGAAGGUCAGCGAAGGCCGCAAUUCCGACCGAUUGAUUGAUUGAUUGAUCGCGGAAUAGCGAGAUUGAACGGCGAGCGGUGUGGAUCGCAAAAUUCUCCGGAUAUCUCGACCUGGAUGUCUGACAUUUAGUCUGCUCGUGAUAAAUUUUUUUCUUGAUAAUACCGCUUGUCUAAUUUCCGCUAAUUUUUUGUAAUCAAUCUUCUUGGGAUUAUUCCUUUAAACUAAUCUUCUUGGGUUUAUUCCUAAUGAUUAAUUGUUAAGCUUAAAAUAGCUUUGUUUGCAAAACAAAAACAAGCUUGUUUGUUUUGAAAAACGUUUCUAAAAAACGUUAAAAAUAAUUGGUUGAAUUCUCUUUUUUCAGAAACCUCAAAAGAAACCUUUUUAAAAGUUUGAAAAGCCAUAGAGAAAGUAAUGAUCAGAAUGACUUCAAAUUUUUACGGUUUACAUAUGUCAAGACUAUCUAUCGGACGGCAAAAGAAAUUUUUCUCUACAGUUACUUUAUGUCAAUGAGGCCGGAAACUUUUCAAAUGGCCCACGUAUUUGAGAAUACUCGAGUAGGGAAUCUAAACGCAGCUCUCACGAGGCUCAAUAAAGCGCGGUGGUUGCAUCAGAAGAGACGAGUGAUGCAGAGUUGAUUUAAUCAGUUCUCAAUUGGGAGUCGACUGAUGUAAUCUUCCUCCCGUGGCCGCUAAGCCAUCGCAGAUGUUCAUAUCACCAUGACUGUCACUACAUGACUAUUAUCAGUCACUAUUCCGUUCCUGACCUGUUACGUAUC